rnacentral:rRNA from 1 species
AGAGUUUGAUCCUGGCUCAGAUUGAACGCUGGCGGCAGGCCUAACACAUGCAAGUCGAGCGGAUGAAAGGGGCUUGCUCCUGGAUUCAGCGGCGGACGGGUGAGUAAUGCGCAGGUAUCUACCUCGUAGUGGGGGAUAACGUCUCGAAAGGGGCGCUAAUACCGCAUACGUUCUGAGGAAGAAAGCAGGGGACCUUCGGGCCUUGCGCUAUGAGAUGAGCUUGCGUCCGAUUAGCUAGUUGGUGGGGUAAAGGCCUACCAAGGCGACGAUCGGUAACUGGUCUGAGAGGAUGAUCAGUCACACUGGAACUGAGACACGGUCCAGACUCCUACGGGAGGCAGCAGUGGGGAAUAUUGGACAAUGGGGGCAACCCUGAUCCAGCCAUGCCGCGUGUGUGAAGAAGGCCUUCGGGUUGUAAAGCACUUUAAGCGGGGAGGAAGGCCUGAUGGCUAAUAUCCAUCGGGAUUGACGUUACCCGCAGAAUAAGCACCGGCAAACUUCGUGCCAGCAGCCGCGGUAAUACGAAGGGUGCGAGCGUUAAUCGGAAUUACUGGGCGUAAAGCGCGCGUAGGUGGUUAAGUAAGCGAUCUGUGAAAGCCCCGGGCUUAACCUGGGAACUGCAGGUCGAACUGCUUGGCUAGAGUAUGGUAGAGGGGUGUGGAAUUUCCUGUGUAGCGGUGAAAUGCGUAGAUAUAGGAAGGAACAUCAGUGGCGAAGGCGACACCCUGGACCGAUACUGACACUGAGGCGCGAAAGCGUGGGUAGCGAACAGGAUUAGAUACCCUGGUAGUCCACGCCGUAAACGAUGUCUGCUAGCCGUUGGGGGGCUUGUCCCUUCAGUGGCGGAGCUAACGCGAUAAGCAGACCGCCUGGGGAGUACGGCCGCAAGGUUAAAACUCAAAUGAAUUGACGGGGGC